ensembl:snRNA
ACUAAGGGCUUCUUUCAUAAGUGACACAUGUAGGGCAGCUUGUUUGCUCUACGUGCAGAAUAGACAUCAAGAGAUUUCAGAAGCAGAAUUUUUGUUGUUUGUGGAGCCCUA